UACAGAGGUGGCAAGCGUUGUUCGGAAUUACUGGGCGUAAAGGGCGCGUAGGCGGCCUUCUAAGUCAGACGUGAAAUCCCUCGGCUUAACCGGGGAACUGCGUCUGAUACUGGAUGGCUUGAGUUUGGGAGAGGGAUGCGGAAUUCCAGGUGUAGCGGUGAAAUGCGUAGAUAUCUGGAGGAACACCGGUGGCGAAGGCGGCAUCCUGGACCAACACUGACGCUGAGUGAGCGAAAGCCAGGGGAGCAAACGGG
rnacentral:rRNA from 1 species